AGUGAACGCUGGCGGUAGGCCUAACACAUGCAAGUCGAACGGCAGCACAGUAAGAGCUUGCUCUUACGGGUGGCGAGUGGCGGACGGGUGAGGAAUACAUCGGAAUCUACUUUUUCGUGGGGGAUAACGUAGGGAAACGUACGCUAAUACCGCAUACGACCUACGGGUGAAAGCAGGGGAUCUUCGGACCUUGCGCGAUUGAAUGAGCCGAUGUCGGAUUAGCUAGUUGGCGGGGGAAAGGCCCACCAAGGCGACGAUCCGUAGCUGGUCUGAGAGGAUGAUCAGCCACACUGGAACUGAGACACGGUCCAGACUCCUACGGGAGGCAGCAGUGGGGAAUAUUGGACAAUGGGCGCAAGCCUGAUCCAGCCAUACCGCGUGGGUGAAGAAGGCCUUCGGGUUGUAAAGCCCUUUUGUUGGGAAAGAAAAGCAGCAGGUUAAUACCCCGCUGUUCUGACGGUACCCAAAGAAUAAGCACCGGCUAACUUCGUG
rnacentral:rRNA from 1 species